rnacentral:rRNA from 1 species
GACGAACGCUGGCGGCGUGCUUAACACAUGCAAGUCGAACGGAAAGGCCCUGCUUGCAGGGUACUCGAGUGGCGAACGGGUGAGUAACACGUGGGUGAUCCGCCCUGCACUUCGGGAUAAGCCUGGGAAAAUGGGUCUAAUACCGGAUAGGAGCCAUCCUUAGUGUGAUGGUUGGAAAGUUUUUUCGGUGUAGGAUGAGCUCGCGGCCUAUCAGCUUGUUGGUGGGGUAAUGGCCUACCAAGGCGGCGACGGGUAGCCGGCCUGAGAGGGUGGACGGCCACAUUGGGACUGAGAUACGGCCCAGACUCCUACGGGAGGCAGCAGUGGGGAAUAUUGCACAAUGGGCGGAAGCCUGAUGCAGCGACGCCGCGUGGGGGAUGACGGCCUUCGGGUUGUAAACUCCUUUCGCUAGGGACGAAGCUUUUGUGACGGUACCUAGAUAAGAAGCACCGGCUAACUACGUG